GGGUUGUGAGGUUAAGCGACUAAGCGUACACGGUGGAUGCCCUGGCAGUCAGAGGCGAUGAAGGGCGUGCUAAUCUGCGAUAAGCGCCGGUAAGGUGAUAUGAACCGUUAUAACCGGCGAUACCCGAAUGGGGAAACCCAGUGUGACUCGUCACACUAUCAUUAACUGAAUCCAUAGGUUAAUGAGGCGAACCGGGGGAACUGAAACAUCUAAGUACCCCGAGGAAAAGAAAUCAACCGAGAUUCCCCCAGUAGCGGCGAGCGAACGGGGAGGAGCCCAGAGCCUGAAUCAGCAUGUGUGUUAGUGGAAGCGUCUGGAAAGGCGCGCGAUACAGGGUGACAGCCCCGUACACAAAAGCGCAUGUGCUGUGAGCUCGAUGAGUAGGGCGGGACACGUGGUAUCCUGUCUGAAUAUGGGGGGACCAUCCUCCAAGGCUAAAUACUCCUGACUGACCGAUAGUGAACCAGUACCGUGAGGGAAAGGCGAAAAGAACCCCGGCGAGGGGAGUGAAAAAGAACCUGAAACCGUGUACGUACAAGCAGUGGGAGCACCCUUUGGGUGUGACUGCGUACCUUUUGUAUAAUGGGUCAGCGACUUAUAUUCUGUAGCAAGGUUAACCGAAUAGGGGAGCCGGAGGGAAACCGAGUCUUAACCGGGCGUUAAGUUGCAGGGUAUAGACCCGAAACCCGGUGAUCUAGCCAUGGGCAGGUUGAAGGUUGGGUAACACUAACUGGAGGACCGAACCGACUAAUGUUGAAAAAUUAGCGGAUGACCUGUGGCUGGGGGUGAAAGGCCAAUCAAACCGGGAGAUAGCUGGUUCUCCCCGAAAGCUAUUUAGGUAGCGCCUCGUGAAUUCAUCUCCGGGGGUAGAGCACUGUUUCGGCUAGGGGGCCAUCCCGGCUUACCAACCCGAUGCAAACUGCGAAUACCGGAGAAUGUUAUCACGGGAGACACACGGCGGGUGCUAACGUCCGUCGUGAAGAGGGAAACAACCCAGACCGCCAGCUAAGGUCCCAAAGUCAUGGUUAAGUGGGAAACGAUGUGGGAAGGCCCAGACAGCCAGGAUGUUGGCUUAGAAGCAGCCAUCAUUUAAAGAAAGCGUAAUAGCUCACUGGUCGAGUCGGCCUGCGCGGAAGAUGUAACGGGGCUAAACCAUGCACCGAAGCUGCGGCAGCGACACUGUG
rnacentral:rRNA from 1 species